rnacentral:rRNA from 1 species
UAGGGAAUCUUCCACAAAUGGACGCAAGUCUGAUGGAGCAACGCCGCGUGAGUGAAGAAGGUCUUCGGAUCGUAAAACUCUGUUGUUAGAGAAGAACACGAGUGAGAGUAACUGUUCAUUCGAUGACGGUAUCUAACCAGCAAGUCACGGCUAACUACGUGCCAG